rnacentral:tRNA from 1 species
UGGGGGAUGGUGUAAUGGCAACACUCAUGGCUCUGGACCAUGCUAUCGGGGUUCGAAUCCCUGUCCCCCAGCCA